rnacentral:rRNA from 1 species
UUUACUACUGUUAAGGGGCUGUUAGUCUGUAUAGCGCAAGCUGAUGAGCAGCUGGCCUCUUUUAUCCACCCUUGUCUUUUGCGUACCCAUGUUUCCUCGGCAGGCUUGCCUGCCGAGGACUCGCCUUAAAAUGAUUGGCAGCCAGUGUUUUGGUAUUGAAGCGCAGCACAAGUCGCGAUUCUUAGCAAACACUUGCGUCCACAAGC